rnacentral:lncRNA from 1 species
CGCCCCGCGCGCUCUCUCCCCGCCCCAUCCCAGCUCCCCGGGCCCCGCGGGCCCCUCCUCCUGCCCCCUCCCCGGCGCGUGAAUGGAGUGCCGGCCGCUUGCGCCCGGUCACGGGGACUCGACGUCACAAAGAGCGGAGUAAACAGGGCGCGCGGUGCUCGCCGGCGGGCCCAUUCAUAAAACCGAGGGCGAGAGGAAGAGGGAGGCGGCCUCCGCCCGGCAGGCGGGCUGCAGCGCCCGGACUUUGUGAAUGGAGCGGGCGGCGCCUCCCCGGCCUCCGCGGCUCGUGGCCCGCCCGGCGCGCGUGGCCGAGCCGCCCCUCCACCCGGCUGCGGCGUUCGGCGUUCAGAAAGUCGCCAGCCGAGAAGCCGGCCUCGAGGAGCCAGCGCUCGGUUGGGAGGUUUCACCCCUUUUUACCUCCGUGCUCCCCCGCUGACAGCCUCGCAGGUCUGCGCCGGGGCCCGAAGCGGAGAGGAGAACCGGGCACCGCUCAGCAGCCGGCGGGCCGGGGACCUCCUCGCCCCGGGCUCCCCGAGCGCGUUCGGCGCGGCCAGUCUUUUUUCAAAUGCAAUUCCUCAGACUUCAGCUUAUGCAUUAGCGUGAUCGAUUUUCACCUUAAGCCAUUAAAUCAGCUUUAUAGCUUCCCGAGGAACGUGGGCAAGCCCCAACUUAGAAGAUGAAAGAGCAAGCCCUCCCGCCCCGAAGCCCGGGAAGAGGAGCGAGGUGUUGGGUUUGUUGCUUUACGACCCAGGGGGAGGCAUUAAUGGCCGGAAUGUUGUGCCCCUGGAGGAAGGCGGGGUGCCACUCCCUUCCACGCUUCCUAAAGAUGUUGAUUUAACCCUGGUGGUGGGGGGGAACCCGACGUUUUCGGCUUUUGGAAAAGUCGUCACCCCCCUCCCGCACACGUGUGAGUCGUCUUCUCAGGAAAUGACUCCACAUUCGGUGCGAAGCUCAGACCCAGAGAAAUGUGACCAGGGACCCUUGCUCAAGGCCCAUCUGUAUGCCCCUGCCUUGAGUCUGAGCUGUGUCCUCUCCAGACCUGGUUUUCAGUUGAUGCAGUGAAAACCGACACAAGCUUUGGAGCCAGACAAAGAUCACCCAAGAGCUGGAGUGAGGUCGGUGCUAGGAGGCAAGGAGAGCAGAAAGCAGAGAGGAAAGAACCAGAACUCCGACAGUCCUAUUGGCUGCAGCUCUGCCACUUGCAGGGCCUUGGUCAGCUUGUGCUCACUAUUGCAUCCCCAGGGCUGGCCCCUAGGAAGUGCUCAAUGCAUGGUAGCUCUCAAAUGAACCUACUCCUUGGAGGGGGCCUCUCCAGGGGUCCGCCCUUUCCCCUCUGAAUUUCCAU